CCUACGGGUGGCAGCAGUAGGGAAUCUUCCACAAUGGGCGAAAGCCUGAUGGAGCAACGCCGCGUGGGUGAAGAAGGUCUUCGGAUCGUAAAACCCUGUUGUUAGAGAAGAAAGUGCGUGAGAGUAACUGUUCACGUUUCGACGGUAUCUACCCAGAAAGCAACGGCUAACUACGUGCCAGCAGCCGCGGUAAUACGUAGGUGGCAAGCGUUAUCCGGAUUUAUUGGGCGUAAAGGGAACGCAGGCGGUCAUUUAAGUCUGAUGUGAAAGCCUUGGGCUUAACCGGAGUAGUGCAUUGGAAACUGGGAGACUAGAGUGCAGAAGAGGAGAGUGGAACUCCAUGUGUAGCGGUGAAAUGCGUAGAGAUAUGGAAGAACACCAGUGGCGAAAGCGGCUCUCUGGUAUGUAACUGACGCUGAGGUGCGAAAGCGUGGGUAGCAAACAGGAUUAGAUACCCCUGUAGUC
rnacentral:rRNA from 1 species